rnacentral:rRNA from 1 species
AGCGAAAUUCCUUGUCGGGUAAGUUCCGACCUGCACGAAUGGCAUAACGAUGGCCACACUGUCUCCUCCCGAGACUCAGUGAAGUUGAAAUGUUUGUGAUGAUGCAAUCUACCCGCGGCUAGACGGAAAGACCCCAUGAACCUUUACUGCAGCUUUGCAUUGAACUGUGAACCGAUUUGUGUAGGAUAGGUGGGAGGCAGAGAAACGUGUACGCCAGUACGCGCGGAGCCAACCUUGAAAUACCACCCUGAUUUGUUUGCGGUUCUAACCCGGGACAGUGAUCCUGUUCGGGGACCGUGCAUGGUAGGCAGUUUGACUGGGGCGGUCUCCUCCUAAAGGGUAACGGAGGAGUACGAAGGUACGCUAGGUACGGUCGGAAAUCGUGCUGAUAGUGCAAUGGCAAAAGCGUGCUUGACUGCGAGAGCAACAACUCGAGCAGAUGCGAAAGCAGGUCAUAGUGAUCCGGUGGCUCUGAAUGGAAGGGCCAUCGCUCAACGGAUAAAAGGUACUCUGGGGAUAACAGGCUGAUACCGCCCAAGAGUUCAUAUCGACGGCGGUGUUUGGCACCUCGAUGUCGGCUCAUCUCAUCCUGGGGCUGUAGUCGGUCCCAAGGGUAUGGCUGUUCGCCAUUUAAAGAGGUACGUGAGCUGGGUUUAAAACGUCGUGAGACAGUUUGGUCCCUAUCUGCCGUGGGCGUUGGAAGAUUGACGGGGGCUGCUCCUAGUACGAGAGGACCGGAGUGGACGCACCUCUGGUGUACCGGUUGUCACGCCAGUGGCAUUGCCGGGUAGCUAAGUGCGGACGAGAUAACCGCUGAAAGCAUCUAAGCGGGAAACUUUCCUGAAGAUAAGUCUUCCCGGAGGUAAAACCUCCCUGAAGAGUCGUCCGAGACCAGGACGUCGAUAGGUCAGGUGUGUAAGCGCUGUGAGGCGUUGAGCUAACUGAUACUAAUUGCUCGUGAGGCUUGAUCCU